GACGAACGCUGGCGGCGUGCUUAACACAUGCAAGUCGAACGGAAAGGCCCUGCUUGCAGGGUACUCUAGUGGCGAACGGGUGAGUAACACGUGGGUGAUCUGCCCUGCACUUCGUGAUAAGCCUUGGAAACUGUGUCUAAUACCGGAUAUGAGCCAUUUUUAGUGUGAUUGUUGGAAAGUUUUUUGGGUGUAGGAUGAGCUCGCGGCCUAUCAGCUUGUUGGUGGGGUGAGUGGCUACCAAGGCGGCGUCGGGUAGCCGGCCUGGGGGGGUGGACGGCCAAAUUGGGAAUGAGAUACGGGCCAGACUCCUAAGGGGGGCCGGAGGGGGGAAUAUUGCACAAUGGGCGCAAGCCUGAUGCAGCGACGCCGCGUGGGGGAUGACGGCCUUCGGGUUGGAAACUCCUUUCGCUAGGGAAGAAGCUUUUUGUGACGGUACCUAGAUAAGAAGCACCGGCUAACUACGUG
rnacentral:rRNA from 1 species